rnacentral:tRNA from 1 species
GCCUGAGUGGCUCAGCCACUUAAGCAUCUGACUCUUGAUUUUGGUUCAGGUCAUGAUCUCAGCAUUGUGGGAUCAAGCCCCACUUCAGGCU